rnacentral:rRNA from 1 species
AUGAACGCUGGCGGCGUGCCUAAUACAUGCAAGUCGAGCGAACAGACGAGGAGCUUGCUCCUCUGACGUUAGCGGCGGACGGGUGAGUAACACGUGGAUAACCUACCUAUAAGACUGGGAUAACUUCGGGAAACCGGAGCUAAUACCGGAUAAUAUAUUGAACCGCAUGGUUCAAUAGUGAAAGACGGUUUUGCUGUCACUUAUAGAUGGAUCCGCGCCGCAUUAGCUAGUUGGUAAGGUAACGGCUUACCAAGGCAACGAUGCGUAGCCGACCUGAGAGGGUGAUCGGCCACACUGGAACUGAGACACGGUCCAGACUCCACGGGAGGCAGCAGUAGGGAAUCUUCCGCAAUGGGCGAAAGCUUGACGGAGCAACGCCGCGUGAGUGAUGAAGGUCUUCGGAUCGUAAAACUCUGUUAUUAGGGAAGAACAAAUGUGUAAGUAACUAUGCACGUCUUGACGGUACCUAAUCAGAAAGCCACGGCUAACUACGUG